rnacentral:rRNA from 1 species
GCCAGCAGCAUACCACCCUGUAUCCCACUGCUGGCUUGCUUCUGAAGCUAACCAGAGUCGGUCCUGGUUGGUCCCUGGCUAGGAGACCAGAUGCUGCUGGAA